UAGGUGGCAAGCGUUGUCCGGAUUUACUGGGUGUAAAGGGCGUGCAGCCGGGAGUGCAAGUCAGGUGUGAAAUCCAUGGGCUCAACCCAUGAACUGCAUUUGAAACUGUACUUCUUGAGUACUGGAGAGGCAAUCGGAAUUCCUAGUGUAGCGGUGAAAUGCGUAGAUAUUAGGAGGAACACCAGUGGCGAAGGCGGAUUGCUGGACAGCAACUGACGGUGAGGCGCGAAAGUGUGGGGAGCAAA
rnacentral:rRNA from 1 species